CUAUGCCCCUAUUCCCCUCAGAGAGCUACAAUUUCUAGAGUGGUUGGACAAUCCCUUUCCCAAACUCUGGGAACUGUAGCUCUGUGGGGGGAGUAGGGGCCUU